rnacentral:rRNA from 1 species
GGAAUCUUCCACAAUGGACGCAAGUCUGAUGGAGCAACGCCGCGUGAGUGAAGAAGGGUUUCGGCUCGUAAAGCUCUGUUGUUAAAGAAGAACAUAUCUGAGAGUAACUGUUCAGGUAUUGACGGUAUUUAACCAGAAAGCCACGGCUAACUACGUGGCAG